UGAACAGUUGUGCCCUCCCUGCUCAGAGCAGUUUCCUGUUGGAGAGGCAAGACCCAUAUGGGGCAUGGAGACACAAGACCCGGGGUUCUAGCUGCCGGAACAAUUUUGAGAAGAGAAAGAAUGGCUGGGCGCUGGUUGCCUGGCAAGCGAGAAAUUCUGGGUUUGCUCUUCAGCAGGUGCAGAAAGCAGACAUCACCGUGCACGCCUGUAAUCCCAGCACUUGGGAGGAAGAAGCGGGAGAACCAGAAGUUCAAGGUUUGGUAGCAAUCUUGCCUUUACCCACUGAGCCGCCUGGCCAGCUCUCCAACACCUGCUUCCUGCUCAGCUCCUGAGUACCCCAGAGACCUCUGCUCCCUGGGGAGCUUGCAUUGCAUGUGUGGUGACCACUUCAGGGGACAUGCAGACCUGUUUGGAACUCUUGCCCCGACCUAGUGGAUCUGUGACCUUGACUGAGCUCAGUCUCAGCUGCCCCCGCAUCGCAUCGAACAACCUGUGAUCCUGUGUCACACAGGAGCAGAUCAAGAAUCUCACAGAUGUGAAAUGCCAGGGAUGGCACGGGACUGGCAGAGGAGGCCACCAGGGUAAGAACACGGGAGAAACAAGCAGGCAGCCACUGAGCAGCAAGGAAGGCUGAGAGUGGACCCGAGAGUAUCCAGUCACUGCACCACCUCCGCUUUCUCUGGGGGUUCAGAGCCUCAGUUUUCCAGCUAUGAAGAUGUUCUGAAGCCAUAUCCACCCUCCUCAACCUCCAUAAGCCUAGAAAUGGGGUAGAGGAAUUCCCAACAUACACCUGUGCUCGUGGCUCCCUCCAAAUUCCUCCUCUCACAUGCCCUCAUUUGCUCCCCAAGACUCAGGGUCACCCCUGUGGAACUGUCAAUAAGGCUCCCUCUGAGACACACACACACACACACACACACACACACACACACACUCACACUCACACACACACAUACACACACACACACACACACACUCACACUCACACACACACACACACUUCCAAGACUUCCUGCCCUCUUAGGGAGAACCGGGCACCCGGGAGUCCAAAGGUGUCAGCACAGGAGACCCUCAUCACCUCCAUCAUAUCCAAAGAACCCCAUCCAACUCCAAAAAGAACGGAGAAGCCUUCACUGGGAAAGACUGACUGACCUGGAUUGUGCACAGUUCAACCGUGGUCCUCAGGGAAGAAGAUGCCAGUGACCAGGUGCAGGUGUCACCAGCGGGCAAGCAUCUGGUGGAGAAGCUGCUGGUAGAGGGAGCAGGAGCCUCGGUUCUGCUACACCCGGGCUCCUGAGCCAGGCCUGGCUGGGCUUGCUGACAACCCAGCUGUAUGAGUCAUUUACCAGCCAGACCUGCCGGGCCGGUGCGUUGGACAUGGAGGCGGGCAGAGGGCGGGAGACUGGAGGACCCGAGGGGGCCCUGGCCUUUACCACCAAGAAGGGUUAGGCUGAGUCAGUCCCAGCCUGGCUGGGUAUAUAUCCCUCGGCCCAGCCCAGGAAGUUAGCCAGGGUAGAAGGAAAGGACUAAUAAACAAAGAUGGGGCUUCCAGGAGUGCUGAGUGCAGGGGUAAGCUCUGUCUGCUGUCUCCUGGUAGGACGGAGAUCAAGACAAGACUCCAAGAUGGGUGGAGCCCUGUAUGAUCCAGAUCCUUUAACCCUGGAAGAUGGGAAAGGGGCAGGCAUACACUGAGGGGGAAAGAGCCUCUCCAGGGCAGCUGUGAGACAGCUGUGUGGCCCGAGACAAGCGGUCUGGUCUCUCUGAGUCUCAGUUAUCUGCUUGUUAAACUGCAGACAUAAUGACAAUAUUAAUAAUAGCCUCUGGAUGAUAGCGCUGUCGGGAGGAACAGGCUCACCACCACAGGUUCCUGGCUCCUAGUCAGUGACAGUGGCUCGGGUCACAGAAUACUCCUUUGGCGCUGCAGGACAGGGGAAUGGCCUUGCCGUAGCCAUCCUUCUUGCUGUCAGUGUCAAUGAGCACAGAUUAGACCAACAACUCGCUCGUCAAGGACACAGGCGUUGGGCUGGAGAGAUGGCUCAAUGGUUAAGAGCACUGGUUGCUCUUCCAGAGGUCUGGAGUUCAGAUCCCAGCAACCACAUGGUGGCUCAUAACCAUCUGUUAUGGGAUCUGACGCCCUCUUCUGAUGUGUCUGAAGACAGCUACAGUGUACUCACGUACAUUAAAUGAAUAAAUAAAUCUUUAAAAAAAAAAGAAAGAAAAAAAAAACAGGCCUCUGAACAUCAGAAAAGUCCUGUAUUCACAAGUGCUCUGCCUAUUCCUUGAGCCCCAGAAAAAGCGUAGCUGGGGACACAAAGGUAGCCCCACCCCCUCGCACCGAAUCCACGCAGAUCAGUGGCAGUGAGCGUGCUGCGCUCACAGUUCACACCAAAGCAGUUCUGUGCUCUCCACCGAAACUCCAAAGCCUUAGGUAUUGGUCAGGGGCAGCCCUAGGGCUGAAUCGGGCCUGUCCUCCCUUGCUGAAUGCGAUCAGAUCAUGCAUGCUUGAGUUCGCAGCCCUGGGGACACCGAGGCAGGAGGAUCUCUGGGAGUCAAGGGCCAGCCUUGGGAAGCACGGUAAGCUCCACAUAUGGAAAAGCUGUCACUAAAGCACAAAGCAAACAGAAAAAUGUGUGCUCGCUCCUCCAUUCUUUCUGGUUGUUCUAUAGACAGAGCAGCCUGACUGAGUCCUGACAGAGACUGCAGUCCCAAGAAGCCUCAGGGGUUACACUGGCCCUUUAGGAAGA